UCUGGGCUGGACCGUGACUACUUGGACCAAUAGAACACAGCAAGCGUGACAAUGCCCUUGAGUGGACUUGCAGCUCUGCCUCGUUCUUGUGGAACAUGAGUCACCAUGUGAAAGUCCCACUACCCUGCUGGGGAGACCACAUGGAGAGGCCCUGAGACCACAUGGGGAGGAAAAGGGGCUCCACUGAGCCCAGCCAUCCAGAUGUGCUCGCCAAGGUGCCAGACAUAGGAAUGAAGCCGAGCCUCCAGCUGAAUGCCCCCACGUGACCACUGGGGCCAUCACGGGAGGCGGAAGACUCACCCAGCCAAGCCCUGCCCCGAUUCCUGACCCCAAAUACCACGAGAUACAACAAAAUGAGAGAGAGAGAGCCAGAAAGCACAAGCAGGGGAAGGGGCAGAGGCAGAGGGAGGAGAAGCAGGCUCCCUGCUGAGCAGGGAGCCUGAUGCGGAACUCGAUCCCAGGACCCUGAGAUCACGACCCGAGCCGAAGGCAGACGCUUAACCAACUGAGCCACCCAGUGUGCAGGGCAGGGGCAUUAAGCACCUUUCCACUGUCAAGCAACCAUCACCACCACCCAUCUCCAGAAUGUUUUCAUCAACCUAUAUUGAAACUCUGUCCCCCUUAAAAGGAUAGCUCCCCAUUCCUCCUCCCCCAACACCUGAAAGGAGAAGUCACAUUAUAGCAGUGAGUAACAGCUAACUGCAAUAAUGGGUUGGUUUCCGGCACUACCACUUGAAAGAUGAUGGGAGCAGUUGGAUCAAGUGCCCAUAAGAAAUAAGCCUGACUCCUGAUGUGACAAUUGUCAUCGUGGGAGAAAUCUUGGUGGUUGAUGAAACACGCCCUUGGCGUGACACCCGAUGAAACCACUGUGAGAUGCAGAACGCGAUGCAGCGUCCAUAGGACCUGCGGCCCGAUGGUCUAAUGCCCAUGCAGAAUGGCCUCCGGACAUCGACGGGCUCCAGGAACACAGC